rnacentral:lncRNA from 1 species
UGCAGCUCCAGCCUUCACCCCAUGAAGAAAACUUUUACCUCUUGCUAAGCUGGAAGCUUCAGUUCCUAAAGUUCUUGCGCCUCCACGGGCGGGCAUACAUCAGUUCCCCAUUACCACCCUCCAGAGAGUGCUGGAAAAGACUGGCUGGGCAGUCAACGCCUGCAACUGCCUUGAGGUUUUGUGAGAAUCUGUGACGGUGUUGCAAACUCAAAAUGUAUUCAUUUACGCACUGCAGAAGGAAAGAGAAUACAAGAGGUGGCGGUCUGUGAAUGUCACAAAGAAGGAAGAACCAGAAUUCCACAGCUAUGUGCAGAUAUGAAGGAAAGGAAAGUAUUUCAAACUUAUGGGAAUAGCAAGAGUCUUGGGCUUUGUUUUAUGGUGGCUUUGUUUUUGUUUCGACAAUGAAAUAAAAAAGGCAAGCAGAAAAUCUGGAAUUUUAGUAUUGCAUGCGUGGUUGAAGCUGUAUUACUGAAAACGGAUGAGGAAAUUUUACAAGCU